UGACAGUAAAGUAUAUCACUUUAAAAAAACUAAAUAUUUUUUCUUUGACUAUUAGGCAAAGUAUAAGGAAGUAAAGGCAAGAAAUGCACAAUUAUUGAAAAUGCUUCAGGAAGGUGAAAUGAAAGAUAAGGCAGAAAUACUUCUGCAAGUUGAUGAAUCACAAAGUAUCAAGAAUGAGCUCACUAUUCAGGUGACUUCACUUCAUGCUGCAUUAGAACAAGAAAGAUCUAAAGUGAAAGUAUUACAAGCAGAAUUAGCCAAAUACCAGGUAUGCUUUUAUAAUUUAGAAGUGUUUUUAUCACAAAUAAUACAUUUGGAGUAGAUACUGUGUGAGAAUAAAUGCAGUAUUUUAUUCUUAGGCCAAAACUUACUAAAUAUAUUGACAGUUUUGUUAUUGGUCAUAUAAUUUACAAUUUAGAAGAUGUUAAAGUUAUUCUAGACAUUGGUAUAUACAGCAAUAACUAGCAUAAUUCAGGAAAAUCCUUAGUAAUACACAGAUGAUACAGCAUACAUACCAUUGAAUCAUAUUGGGGAAAGGCACAAAAGGAUAGUUGUCUUGUUCAUAAGGUUGAUCACUUGGAUACAGUGAUACCUCCUAGAUAGCUCCAUUGUAAAUAUACAUAUUUUUCCCCUUUAUAAUUAACAUGUGAGGUGAUA
rnacentral:lncRNA from 1 species